rnacentral:rRNA from 1 species
UACGGAGGGAGCAAGCGUUACUCGGAAUUACUGGGCGUAAAGGGCGCGUAGGCGGUUCGAUAAGUCAGCUGUGAAAACCAUGGGCUUAACUCAUGGCCUGCAGUUGAGACUGUCGGGCUGGAGUGUGGGAGAGGAGAGUGGAAUUCCUGGUGUAGCGGUGAAAUGCGUAGAUAUCAGGAGGAACAUCGGUGGCGAAGGCGGCUCUCUGGACCACAACUGACGCUGAGGCGCGAAAGCGAGGGGAGCAAACAGG